AUUGAACGCUGGCGGCAUGCUUUACACAUGCAAGUCGAACGGCAGCACGGACUUCGGUCUGGUGGCGAGUGGCGAACGGGUGAGUAAUACAUCGGAACGUGCCCAGUUGUGGGGGAUAACUACUCGAAAGAGUAGCUAAUACCGCAUGAGAACUGAGGUUGAAAGCAGGGGAUCGUAAGACCUUGCGCGACUGGAGCGGCCGAUGGCAGAUUAGGUAGUUGGUGGGAUAAAAGCUUACCAAGCCGACGAUCUGUAGCUGGUCUGAGAGGACGACCAGCCACACUGGGACUGAGGCACGGCCCAGACUCCUACGGGAGGCAGCAGUGGGGAAUUGUGGACAAUGGGCGAAAGCCUGAUCCAGCAAUGCCGCGUGCAGGAUGAAGGCCUUCGGGUUGUAAACUGCUUUUGUACGGAACGAAAAGCUUCGGGCUAAUACCCUGGAGUCAUGACGGUACCGUAAGAAUAAGCACCGGCUAACUACGUGCCAGCAGCCGCCGUAAAAC
rnacentral:rRNA from 1 species